AAAUUGGACCUGGGUGCCAAACGAGCUGUGAGCCAUAGGAGGAGGGGGCAGCUUCUAAGAGAAGCUGUCGUAAAAUCAAGGAAGAACUGGCCCUUUUAUUCCCGUCUGGAGGGUUCAUCUCCUGACUCCUGGCAGCAAUCAAGUCCCAAACCCCAAUGGUUCAUUCAUGUACAAGCCGAUAAUUCGAAACUUGCAGCUACAUCGUAAAGCAUUUCGAGCUACUGCCCAAUCUAAUUUACUCUGUCGAACAUGGCUCCGCCCACGCUCCUGCGACGCACCGCGCCGGUGCGCGCAGCCACCGCCGCCGCCGCUGCUGGGCCGCUUUGCUUCCAGCCGUGUCACUCCCCUGCAUCACCGCCGUGCCCCCCUGGUUUCUCCAGCCCAAGGUUUUCUCGCGAGGACCUCGUUCUCUUGCUUUUCCCGCAGCUGGCUGGAUCCACGCCAGAUCCAGUGCUGCUGCCGGGGUGCUCUACCUCUCCAGGCUCGCCAUUUGUUCCGGAUCCCCUCCCAGAAGAUCCACCCGCGGCUCCUGCUUCCGUUGCCCGGGUCCAGCCCGGAAGGUCUGCUUUGCUGCUGCUGAAGACCUGCUGAAUCCAGCUCCUGCUAAGCUCAUCCAUGGCGCCCCCAGGUCAUGCCUGAAGACGGCGCGGUCUGCUACCUUCUCUGCCGGUCAGGGCGCGGCGCGGACGCCCAUACCUUCAAAUCCUGCGACGCCUCGUGCGAUGUCUUUCAAGCCGUUGGGUGUGGAUGCAAGCUCGGAGGAGGGUUGGAAGCUGGUUAAACCGCCGUAUUGGUGGAGAACUCUGUCUCCCAAUCUGCAUCAGUCAAGACAGAGGUCCUCGCCUUCCUUUUCCCCUCCAUCAUCAGGCAGAAUUUUUGUGAAGCAUCACCGUCGGACCUGCCAUCGCUGCCUGGAGCGGGGACAUCUCAAGAUUGACUGUCGUGACCCCUAAAAAUGUCUGAUUUGUCGACAGAGUGGGCAUCGUGCACGCCAGUGCACAAACAAAUCACCGAAGCCAGUGCAAGAACGCCUCCCGCCGCCGGCAAUGAUUCCGUCUCCCCCACUGGCAGAAGCUGAUGGAAGGAUUCUAUGCCGCCCGUGUGGUGGCCAUGGCGAUCCGGUCUGCUGGGAUGAUGUUCGUGGCUGGGACGACGGGCGCGAGGGCAACCAACGCUCCAGCGCCCCUGCUAGGCGUAUCAACAAUCGAGGCCAAGGCUCUCGCUACGAGAUGACUGCGACGGCAACUACGACAUGCGCCGUGGCCUGGAGCUCCCGACACUCGACGCCCGGUGAAUCGACAGAGGAUGUGUUCAACGACUUCCGGAUGGCGCUGUCAUCCCGGCUUUAGGCAGGAGGUCCCGAAACCGCCCAGCUGACACGCCGACGAGGAGUGCGCGCCGAAGAAACAGCACUACCAGCCCGCACAACAUUGAGACUCGUGGUCGGUCGCCACUGCCUUCUCCGCGCACUACUCACCGAGACAUCAUCGAGCUGAGACCUUCGUCGGCUGGCUCUAGGAGCAACGAAAGAUCACCGCCUUCUCCUCGCACUACAUUCCAGGACAUCAUCGAGCUGCGCCCUUCCUCAACUGCUCCUGAUUGGCUGCAUCGCGUGAGCCCGGGCCUGGGAUUGCUGGCGCCGAACAUGCCACCGGUCUGGCCUUCUUGCUCGCCGCCUCGUCUCAUGCGCUGUGCAACCUCCUCGACUACAGGCUCCUCUUCGGGCGCGACUCCAUCCACCAACAGCCUGACGUGCACCCCGGUCUUUGUACCGCAAACGCCCACCUCCUCCCCGCCAAGGACGCCUCCUAUUAGAAGAAUGAGGUCGCCAACGCGCAAUGGGCCGACUAAUCUGUUGCAGCCAUCGCCGCCUCUUCUGGAUGGCUGCACCCCGACGCACCCUUCUGGCUUGCUUCGCAUGUCCAGAACUUCUCCGAUCCCAAGUUUGCCAGCGGGGGUCGCCUCUGCUCCUCAAAGCUCCCAGGGGGACUGCUCCGACCAGCCAGAGCAAAGCACCCCCAUCUUUGUGCCUUGUCAGCAGGCCCUGUUGCCAUCGCCAACGCCAAGAUCAACCCCGCCCAGGCCACCGACGAGAAGAAGGAAGACCUUGGUUGGUAUCUCCAGUUUCACAGUGGGACACUGCAGCCCGCGGCUCCAGGCCAAGAACCGAUCGAUGCCUAUCGCAAAAUUAGCGGAGAAGCUGCUUUGCCAAAGGCUGGGUAUCAUAGAGGAAGGUGAAAUGAUGACUGAGGAGGGCAUCAACAAGUAUGUCGCAUUGUUCAAUGGUAAACUGCCAGACAUUGCGGUGGCGGCUUUGCGUGCACUGUUCAAGCUUGACUGUGACCUGGCCACUGCUGUCGAAGACGCCCUAGUUGAGCAUGGUGGCGACACGGCCCCAGACCUACAGGCCAUGGGAAGUGAGGAGGCCACGGCGACGACAUGAUGAUGUUGCUGCACCGAUGAUGGAUGUAUUGUUAGUUUCUAAUGGAAGAUAACAACUUAUGCAUUUUGAAUUGGAAUGUUCGUGGAUUGAACUGCCCAGACCGUCGUUCUACUGUACAUGAAACCAUCGCCUCCACUUCUUGCAACAUUGUAUGUCUUCAAGAAACCAAGCUUGCAGCCGUGGAUCCUUUUAUCGCUGCUUUCCUAGGCAGCCAUCGUCUGAAAAGUUUCGCUGAGCGGCCCGCGAAUGGCACCCGUGAAGGAAUUCUUCUAUUAUGGAAUGAAGACCUAGUAAAGAUUGAUAAUGUGAGCUUUGGGGACUUCUUCCUCUCGGCAAUGGUGACUAUCAUUGGCUCAAACACAUCCUUCCAAAUCACAACCGUGUAUGGCCCUACUAGAGGCAAUUUGAAGGAUGCCUUUUUCCAUGAAAUGGUUGGACAAAAACCUCCUGCUGGCAUGAGAUGGAUUGUCACCGGCGACUUCAACCAAGUCUAUCGGGCCAGAGAUAAGAACCGUACAAAUGUCGAUCGCAGCCGUAUUGUUCGCUUCCGCAACGCCCUCAAUGCUUGUGAGCUAAAGGAGAUACAUUUGCAGAAUAGGAAAUUCACAUGGAGCAAUGAACAAGCAAACCCGACCAUGAGAAAACUUGAUAGCUUCUUUUGCAAUGAAGAUUGGGACAUUCAGUUUGGCUCCCACCUUCUCCACGCAUUGUCAUCUUCAUUGUCCGACCACUGCCCUCUACUCCUCGCUAGUGAUGUGGGGCCCUCCCGGCCAAAAUGCUUCCGCUUUGAAAACUUUUGGAUCAAGAUGCCUAACUUCAAGAAGACUGUCCAAGAUGCUUGGAAUGAGAGAGUCCCCCAUGUUGAACCAUGUCAAAUCCUCUUUCACAAGCUAUAAAGAGUUAGUCAACGCCUUCGCACUUGGAGCAAAAAGUCCAACUUCACAUGGCCCUUGAUAUCAUUCUUAGAUUGGAUUUGGCCCAAGAAAGUAGAACAUUGAGCUUUGAGGAGAGGGACCUUCGGAGGAAGCUCAAAAGAAAGAUUGUGGCCCUUGCCGUUCUUGAGAGAACUAGAAAGAGACAAAGCUCCAGGGUUACUUUGCUCAAAGAGGGUGAUGCCAACACGCGUUUCUUCCACCUUCGCGUCAACCACAGAAGAAGAAAAAAAUUUAUUCAUCGGUUGAAACAUAACAAUGGAUGGGUCACAAACCACGAGGAUAAGAAGACGAUUGCACAAGAACACUUUAGGAAGGCCAUCAAAAAAGGGGUGCCCCGUGCUAUGGACCUCAACUGGGAAUUCAUCCCUGCUCCGGUUUCUGACCUCGCAGACUUGGCGAUGCCUUUCUCGUUGGAGGAGGUCAAGGCGGCAAUCUUUGCCCUCCCUAGUGAUAAAGCCCCAGGCCCUGACGGAUUCACCAGAGCCUUCUUCAAAGAGUGUUGGGAAAUAGUCCAACCUGAAAUCAUGGAGGUCAUCAACAACUUCUCUAACCUUCAUGUCUCCAACUUGCAUUGGCUGAACUCGGCAAACAUAGCUCUCAUUCCGAAGAAAGAUGGUGCAGAGGACAUCUCAGAUUUUCGACCAAUUAGUCUCAUCCAUGGUAUUGCCAAGAUCAUUGCAAAAAUGAUGGCCACACGGCUCACUCCUCAUAUGCACAAACUAGUCUCCAAUGCACAGAGUGCUUUCAUCAAGAAAAGAAGUAUCCAUGACAAUUUUAUGUAUGUGCGCAACUUGGCUAGGCGCUUCCAACGCAAAACUACACCAACUUUGCUUUUCAAGCUUGACAUAAAGAAGGCUUUUGAUUCGGUGCAUUGGGAUUACUUGAUGGAUUUGCUGCGCCACCAUGGCUUCCGAAGUCGCUUCAGAGAUUGGAUCUCCGCCCUUCUUUCCUCGGCAUCUUCGCGUGUGUUGCUCAAUGGUAUUGCCGGUGACCCAAUUCGGCAUGGUCGGGGCCUUCGUCAAGGGGACCCUCUCUCCCCAUUGCUAUUUGUGCUUGCCAUUGACCCGUUGCACCACAUCCUUGCCAAGGCGACUUCUCAAGGUCAUCUUCAACCGCUCAGAGGUCGACCCAUCCGUGCGUCACUUUAUGCUGAUGACGCUGCCAUUUUAAUUGCCCCAAUAAAAAAUGGCAUUCAGUUCCUGGCUUCAACUCUUGCAUCCUUUGGUGAUGUUACAGGAUUGGUCACUAAUUGUGCCAAAAGUGUAGUUGCGCCCAUUCGAUGCGGUAACAUUGACCUUGAUGACGUCCUGCAAGCCUUCCUAGCGGUUCGCUCCACCUUCCCUAUGAGAUAUUUGGGGCUUCCCCUUUCGGUUUCAAGGCUUAAGAGGAUUCACUUUCAGUUCUUAGAGGAUAAAGUUGCGGGGAAACUACCACCUUGGGUUGCCAAACAUGUGGCCGCGCCAGGUCGUGUCGUCUUGGUCAAGGCAGUGCUUACCGCCAUUGCUAUAUAUCAUAUUACGCCCCUGGAAUUGCCGGUGGAAGUGAGGAAGAAGAUUGACAGCUUGCGGCGUGCCUACCUUUGGGCGGGUUGCGAUAAAGUGACCGGUGGAAAAUGUAAGGUCAACUGGGAACUUGUUUGCAAGCCCAAGAUCUUCGGUGGUUUGGGCAUCCUCAACCUUGAGAAGUUUGCUACUGCCCUUCGACUGCGAUGGCUUUGGUAUGAGUGGGCUGACCCCCCCAAGACUUGGGCUGGGACGGGAACACCGUGCAAUGAUGAUGAUAGAGACCUGUUUGCGGCAGCCACCAUGGUUAGUGUUGGAAACGGAUGUAAGGCGAAGUUGGAAUCAUCUUGGCUCAACGGUAUGAGACCCAAAGAUAUUGCCCCAAAGGUAUUUGACCUCUCCAAAAAGAAAUCUACCUCGGUCCAAAAAGCUCUCCUCAACAAUUAUUGGGUUAGUCAGAUUGAUACCCAUCAUGGGCUCACCAUGGAGCAUAUCCAGGAGUUCGCCUUGCUAUGGAAAAAGCUAUCCUCUGUUACUCUCGACAAUGAUGUGCAUGAUACUAUCCUAUGGAAGUUCACGUCUCAUGGACUUUUUAGGUGUCGACCGCCUAUAUGGCGCAGUUUGCGGGACACACGACAAGCAUCAUGCCUGCUGCUGUUUGAAAGGGUUGGGCCCCUCCGAAAUGCAAUUUUUUUGCUUGGUUGAUAAUUCAAAACAGAGUUUGGACAGCCGAUCGAUUGCACCGUCGUGGAUGGCCGAACUGCAACCUCUGCCCGCUUUGCAAGCAAGUCCAGGAAACCGCAGCACACCUUCUCUUCCAAUGCAGGUUCUCCCAGCGUGUCUGGAUCGAGGUUGCAGCAUGGCUCGGUAUACAUGGUGAUGUGGUGAGGAACUGGCGAAAUGAGGUUUCGGUUCAAGAAUGGUGGAUUAAAAAUGUGGUUGAGCGUGGAGAUCAGAGAAAGGCUAUCGCCUCCCUGUUCAUGCUCAUGUCUUGGGAGAUUUGGAAAGAGCGUAAUGGAAGAGUUUUCCGUAACACCGACACUACAACGAUGAUGCUCAUCGCGAAGAUAAAAGAGGAGGCCCAUCUUUGGGCUAUUGCCGGUGCCACCCACUUGAGUAUUGUAAUGCCGCGAGAGUAGAUAUUUGUCUCCCGCUUUGCGGCCAUUUGUCUUAAACCUUCUCCCUUAAUCAAUGAAAAUGGCAAAUCUUUUGCCUUGUUUCAAAAAAUACAUCGUACAGCACAAUCCGGCAUCAACUGUUGAAUGUACAUAUCAAUAGUACGAUGGUAAGCCACAUGGGUUGGACAAACUACAAGAAUGUCUGCAUAUAUGCCCAAUGGCAUGUGGUUUUAAACAUUCAGCCCCCGAUCACGCUUUAG
rnacentral:lncRNA from 1 species